CCUGCCAAAGGGAACUGAAUUCCCCUUGUAUCGUCAGCUGAAGUUCUUUGGGAGAAAAAGAGACUGAAUCUUUCACAAAACCCCAUAUACUGUAGAUUCACACAUAUCACUUCAACUUGCAGCUGACCUAGUGACAGAGCUUCUACUGUUUUCUCCAUCACUUCAUAUCACACCACUAUGCUUCACAGCGGCUAUGAGUUUUGCAACAGCAUCUCAUGUAUCAGCAUCGGUUACACAGACAGUGCUCAAUUAAUGGAGCAGAAGGUCCAAGUGAGAAAAGCAAAACUGUGAGGAAGAGUUCCUGAGCUAUUCAGUUGAAUGCAUGGUGUGGCUUCUGAAAAGUAAGACUCAGGAGACAGAAACUACCAUUCUUUCCUUGUACUCUGCGAUGCACAAGGCACAAAAGAAGAUGGAAUACCAUACUGACGCAGGGGCCAGUCAAACUUUCUCUCACUUCAUUGAUGGUUGCACCAAACCUGAAGUCUGAAGAAGCUAAAAAGGUCACUGCAGAGAGAAAUAUUUUUGGGGGCCCUGGUAAAAAAAAGAGACCUGAAAGAUGAUCAAGACCAAUCCAGGAUCAGAUUUUCUUAUAUUUGUAUAUAUUAAAUUAAAUUCAUGAAAAGUUUGCCCUUCAUCAGAGGGAAAGUCAGCUUAACAAAAGCCUUAAGCUCCUGUACCACGUUAUAGGAUAUGUAUUUACGGGGAGACCUCUAAGAAAGGUGUGACUUUCUUCUCUAAGAAAAGUGUGACUAGGAAAAAAGUGUGGAAAUUGAACCCCAAAAUUCCUUCUACUGAAAAGAGAAUCAAGAAGGUUUUCCAGGCUGAACUUAUUAGCUGUUGGGUUUUAGGUUUCUGAAUGUCAUUUUAUUUUGCAAAACAGAAACAAAAAAUGUAUGCUUCUAAUGUAUUUAACACAAUCUGGGAAGAGAAUGUGCAGAGCUGUCAAAUGGGACUAGGAAAAUCUAAUUGUAAUAUGAACUCUUACAAUGAACUAUUUUUUUAGAGAAGGUGCAAGAUCAGAACGUAGGAAGAGGUGCAAAAUAUCACACCACAUAAAGAGCUCUAGCUGAAAGUACAAUAGCUCUGCUUCUUCUACCUCAGCAUCAAUAAAUAAACAUAAUGAAAUUCAUGACACAUUAUUGCAUUGCUCUGUAUUGCCUCUAUUCAUUUAAAAAUGAUGAACACAUUUAAAAUAAUUCACAACUUGUCAAAUGCCUGUGAGCAGUGCAGUUAGACUAGUGCUUUAAGAAACAUUUGUGAAGAUCUUAUGAGAGCUUGAUACUACUUAUAUCAAAGUAAAAAUGGAAGUAUGGGAAAACAGAACAGUAACUACUUCCCCUGAAUCUACUAGUACAGUUGCAUCCAAUAUAUUUACACUGUUCACCAAUGAUAUGUACUUACUGAAGCUGCACUGUCAAUAAAAAACACAUUAAGAACCUUUUGAAAGAGCUUCCUUGUCAAUUAGACUGCAGAUACAUUCUAUUGCUCCAGUUUUUCUGUCAAUUUAAUAUACUGGAUCAUAUUAACAGUACUGGCUUGUCAAUAAAGCAAAUCCAAAUCCUAUUAAUGGAGUUAUACUGCCAAUACAAUCGGCUUCCUAUUUAUCGAGCUCCCCAGUAUCAGGGAAAGCUGUGAAAUGGGAUUAUAAGGUUAGGUUACAUACAUCUGUCUCUAUAGUAUAUAAAUAUUUGAGGAGUUUUGUGCAACUGUGUGAAGAAAAAUGUGUAACCACUUUUUUUCCCCUUUAAUAGUUUACCAUUACUGAGGAAAUAUUAAAUAACCUUCAUUUAUCACAUUAUUUUUCCUGCUUGCUGAAAGUAACACUGUUAUAUCAUAAGGUAGCCUGCUUCUGUGCCACACACACAGAAAUGCCAGGAGAUGUAUGCACAUGAGAUAGUAUCUGUGCCAGAAAAUUAAAAAGAUAAGACACAUUUUAGGAAUAAAAUAUGAAAAGCUCCACAAUUUAAAUGUUUAUUUAGCUAUUGUAUUGUGAUGUAUAAUCUUGAUAUAAUGAAGCUUCUAAGUAUAAUUUUAGCAUAACAGAGACCCCUGUAAAUAAUUAAUAUGAGGUAGUAGU